ACAACAAAAAUAACCACUAAUCCAUAAUUUCACAGUACCAACAACAUAACAAAAUAAUGUAAACUAUUUGAACCGUAUAACUAGUGUUAUUUUGUCUAAUAAUUAGUGAGUUAGAUAGCUAGCUAUAAUACAAGACAAUAAAGGGUACAUAAAAACUUCUGACACUUGAACAUAUGAUGAAGUCUUCCACAUGUCAAAUAUUUCGACAUCAUAACCUGAAAUAAUAAAAUAAGAUGGAUAUCAACAUUAUUUAUGAUAGGACAUAGUAUUACUACUGCUUUAUAACAUUUGACUACUAACAAUCAGACUCUGCACUUUGUCUAUGCACUUAUUUGUAACAAUAGUCCUAUUUGCAAGAAAUUAAAUUGUAUAGGCACAAUUUCGAGCUGGAGAACAAAAGUAUAGAUCCCAAAAUAUAUGUGCUUCAAAACUUAGAUAUGCAUAAAGAAUAAUUUAAAGAUAUUCAACUUAAAGUAAUUGGUUUGAAUCUAAGCUUUUCAUGAGGUGCAAGCUAGAAAGAAACUUUAAAGAUUAUAGCAUUUAUACAAGCUUUGCCAACGUGUAUUAUAUUUGCGUUCAAUAAUUACCUAUAUACUUUUAUUUGUUUUGUUUUUGGUUAAGCCCGCUAAAUGAAUAAGAGAAAUUACAUGAAGUUCCUCAAAUAAAAAAUGCAUAGAGGAGUACAAAAUCUAUUUUAAAUUAAGACUACAUACUAAAAGUUUACUUGGAGAAAGAAUCAAACAUUUAUAAACUAAUAAAAUCCUCGCUAGCUAAGUUACAAAUUAAGAGAGAGCAUACUAAUAAACAUUUACAGUGAAGAGUUGCAGAAACGGGAAUGGGCUUUUUGAGUGUUUGUACAUACUUGUUAGAUUUGCCAGAGAAGAUUUCAGGGAUUGAGAAUUCGAUUUGUUGUUCCUAUUGUAUAACAUUUUGCUUAGUAAAGUAAGGUGGUAGAGUUUUCUACCGCAUACAACAAAAGAAAGUUGUAAAUGACCAAACUCGUAUAUUAACAUUCCAUGGAGUACGCAAACAAUCAGAAUGCAAAUAUCGAUGAAAUGAAAGACAAAAACUCAUGUCGAACCUGGCUUGUUGGGUGUUUCUUGUUUUGCUUUCUUUGCCAGAGCCAGGAGCUACUUAGGAGAUGGAGCUGGUCUCUUUUUCUUUUCAACCUUCAUCAUAAAACAUCAAUCACAUAAAAGACAAUGCUAAUUAAGAUAAAUGAAAAAAAUGAACAAACAUAAAGAUAAAAAAUUUAGUACUACCUCUUUUUGAUGUCUCUUCUUCUAAAUCUUCAUCUCCAUCCAAAUCAUCAAAAAAAUCCAUUACUUAAGGACCAUAAAAAUCCUAGUAAUCCAAAAUUUAAAAAAACUACCUACACCCGGAAAAAAUAUAAGAUAAAGCAUUUCUCCCUGUAUUAAAAGGUAAAAUCUACAUAAUAAGCAUCACAAAAAACUUUAUGAAUGGCAUAGGCACAUCACUGGAGACAUCAUCACUACCAUCUUCAUUAUCCGAGUCAUCUUCAAAAUCAUCAUCAUCUUUGUUAGAUGUCGGUUCUUUUUUUGGUUCUGCCACCUUCGCAUUUUUCUCAAUAAAUGCAACCUUAGUAAGUGCAGACUUUUUUGAAUCAUGCUUUAUAUCCUUCACAUUAUCCUCAAGUUUUCCAUUUAUGCAUCUAAAACAUUCUCUUCAUGUAAAAAAAUAUCACCUCUAGAAUCAAUUUCAUCAACGCUCAGAUCAUCAAUUGUGCAUACAAUUAAAUACACACUCCCAUUUGUUUUAGUCAUGACUCAUGUAAAAUUUUAAACUCCUUUUCAAGGACCAAGUCAAACAUCAACUAAGGUCUAUCCUCUGCCGGUAGAGUUCCAAUGAUGUAAUUAUUUUCUCCAACAGUUAGGCGUAGAGGAACAUGUUUUACUUCUUUGGCAUACUUCACUUCAUCUAUUGCAGCCUACAAAAUAAAGAUCCCUAAUAGCCAUUUAAGAGUAAAGCCACAUUAUGCUAGCUUGAGAAAGAACACAAAUAUAAUUUAUUUAUUUUUAAAAAAAGAAAGCUAACCUUGUAAAUAUGAAUGAGCUUAUAAAGUUCAGGCUUGAUUUAGAAAUCGUCUUACUUUCACUUCAACACCUACACAUAGCUCAUGUGAAAGAUAUGUCACACUUUAAUAAAUUAUGUUCAUAUGGUGUAAUUUCUGCAUCAUGAAAAUAAUUGACCAAAACCGUUAAGGUAUAGAUUAAAAAAAUAAGCACAUGUGUUAGUGGUUCAAUUUAUGUAUAUACAUAUACAAACCGAUCUAUACCUUUUUCUAGUUAUUUGGUUUUGAUUCUAGUAUGCAAUUUUAACUCCUAUUUUCUCUGCAUCUAGUUGCUAGAAACAUAAAAAAAUUCCUUUAAAUGAUACAAACAUCUGUAGCAGAAAAAUCAUGACGUCUUAAGCCUUCAAGAUUCAAUCCAUGAAGCUUAACUUUUUUUCUCAGAUACAAUAAUAUACUUUGGAACAUCGUUAGAAACCUGGAGAACAAAAUGACUAAGAUCCUAAAAAGAUAUGUGAUCUUAAAUAUAGUUAGUGUGUUGCAGUCGUAUAAUAUAUGUGGAUCUUUUUCAUUCCUUGGUGGUGGUUCAGUGGUAAGAUUCUUUCUUAAUUUUUGAUGUCUUUUAAUUCUUUGAAAGACUCAAUACUCCUCGUAUGAUAAAUUAAGAUAUCAAUAGUUUCAUAUUUUGGUUGUUUUUCCUAAAUGCAAACAUAAUUCAAGAUAGCAAUACAUCUGUAAUUGCUAUACUUUUAAGUUUGUUUGUGAGAUGCACCUCAUUAAAGUUUAGUUUCGAACCACUUACUUUAAGUUGAAUAUAUUAAAAUUAGGUCUUCUACAUUUCUCAGAUUGAAAGCACAUGAACCAAUACGGUAAAUUAAUGAACAACAAUAGCUCCUGUAGUGUGGCCGUAGUCCUGUAUGUGAAGAAUUUAAAUUAUCAUCUAUCAGUUAUACUAAAUUUCCAGAAUAGGUCAUGCCUCAUGAAAAUGACUAAAACGAAAUAGUCAACCACAACAUGACCUGCAAGAAAUGUGGUGUUUUUCACUAGAAAGCAAUACAUAUUCUUUCAAUACGUUAAAACUAAAGUGUAUCUAUUUGAAGAUACAAAGAUUUAGUUGGUUGUGUAUAUACAAGGACAUCAAUUAAGAUUUCAGUCUCAAGUUUAUUCAUUUCCAAAUUUUCUAUAAUGGAUCUAAGAACGGAUUGAAGCUUUUAUCUGUAAGAGUUAUUGGCAUUCCACACAAGUUGAAUUAGAUUAGCCUUAUAUGAAACAAAUGCAUUAAUACUACAAAGUAGAAAUAUAUUCUUUUGCUUUGAUCGCUCAUUUAUUUCCUAUUAGUAUAGUAAAUUUUUAAUCAAACAUGAGUUCAUGAAGGAAUUUUUUUAUCCCUUAUAAACUUAUUAGUGAAUCAAAAGCUACUUAAUCUUUGCAAGAGAGUGAUAAGCAGUAUAACACAAUUAUAGCAUCCAAAUUACAAAUGACAUAAUAAUGCAUGAGGGAUAUCUUAAUAAAAUCAAAUUUCCUAUAACUUCUGGGAUUAUAUUUAUAGGAAAACAAGGAAUUUCACCUCAAAGGGAUAAGGGGCAGAACACAUAGGGUACAACCUCCACUAAUAAUACUGAUAAUUAUCACUAGCGAUAGUAAUAUUUUUGAGAUAGAACAAGAAAUAGUAUUGUUAUACUUUGUGGAUACACUCUACUCCAAGAUUUUCCUGAUCGGGACCUAGACUUUAGGUACUUUUUUAACACAUGAAUUUGUACAUCAGCAAAUCUACACAGGAAAGAAGCACAUACAUGAAGAAAGUAAUCUGAAGAUCUCAUUCAGUAACCUCUAAAAAUUCAUAAGCAUUUUUAUUUCCUAAAAUCUUAUACUCUUAGGAAACAUAAAUUGAUUGGAGUACACACACUAAUUCACCAACCUCUAAAAUUUCAAGAGAAUUUAGAUUUCCUAGCUUCUUACAAUUCCGCAGCAAUAAGACUCAAAGUCCUUCAAAUAUCGAUAGUUGAUGUUUGGAUAAAAGACAACUAGAAGGGACACUCUCCUCUCAUCUUCAAUGUUUCUCUCUUUGGUGAAUUCAACAUACAUAAUCUAAUGUUAUUCCUGUUUGAUCAAAAUAUUCAUCCGAGAACCUACGUUAUUUGGUAAUCAUACAGACAUAUAUUCAUGUGCGCUCUAGUUAUAUACAAACAUGAUUAUUCAAGAAAUCACCAUCCAUGUUUUUACAUAACUUCAAUUAGACUACAGAUCACACAUUAGUCACCUUAUAAUGUAAUAUAUAUUGAUGUUUUCAAGAAAUUAAAACAAAUCUCAAUCACAGAGAGAUCUGAAUGCUAUAGAUUCAGGUAAAAAACAUCAAUUUUUAUUAAUGAUACACAGAGAACUUCUGAACAACCAAAGUAAAGAUAAAAGAAUCGGCGAAACAGAGGAAUCAAAUCAAGUGAUUUUCCAUCAAUUCAACAGCAGUCAGAGAUCAUAUAUUAUGAUUUAACAAACUCAAGAAAUCUAUAAUUUCACAAAUCAUAGAUUGCCAUAGUUAGACAUCACAAAAUGCAAUUUGACAUGGUAUCAAGUAUUUCGGUACUUGAUAAGAAGAAUAUUUUACCAAAAAAGACCAAAAUGUUAAGGAGAAGAAUUAUUAAGGUAACAAUCUGAAACUUACAUGAAUGUAGAAGAUGAAGAUGAUGACAAGGAGAAGAUUUAAACAUCGGUGGUUCAGCAAUAUCGACCUAAAGUCAUGACUCUGACUAUAAAUAGAUGAUGUCUAGUGAUGGGUAAGGCUACCAUAGAAGAUGAUCAGCGUAUAUGGCAGUCAUGGUGCCGCGAGGCGGAGAGCUUUAGAGCAGCAAUGUGGAAUUAGAAUGAGUAGGGUUUUUAGUUAUUUCUUUUUGUUAAUUAUUGGAGGAAACAUCUAAAUUCUAAUAGUGGUGAAAAACUAGGAGGGAAAAAUGACAAAAUUGUUUUCAAUUAGUAAUUUUUACGUGCAAAUUAUUUUUAUUGUCGGUAAAAAAUAAAUUUUAGUGGCCAAUGUUUAUGGGCCAGUAGUAUCUCAAUGUAAAUAAUUAAUUAGUGGCAAUUGACUUAUUAUCAUUAAAUAAUUAUCGCUAAAAGGCGCCUUUUUGUAGUAGUGUGAGGUUCAUAUGCAAGGCAAUACUAGCAAUACUAAUGUGGGAAUUGUGGAAAAGGAGAAAUGCAAGAAGGCAUGGAAAGGAAAUUACUUUUUAUAAGCUAGAGCAAAAAUGUCAGACCAUAAUAACACAGCUUAUAAGAAGUAAAUACCCGUGGAUAACAGUUCCUAAAGGGUGGGACACAAUUGUAGAGGUACUAAGAAGAUACAGGCCAAGAUUGCACUAUCACGCUGUGAGGUGGAUAAAACCGCAACAAGAUAAAUUUAAGUGCAACACGGAUGAAGCUAGCAGAGGUAACCCACCCUGGAGUAAGUUCUUACAGUUUCUGUAUUCGAGAUUACAAUUAAAGCUUGAUAUAUGCUGAAGCAGAUGCUUUAGGGGAUAGAAACACUAUGAAAGCAGAGACGAUAGCAAUUCUACAGGCACUUAGUUAUUGCAAGAGAAACAAUCUUCAAAACAUCAUUGUGGAAACAGAUUCGUUAGGAAUAACAAAAAUGCUUAGACAGGAAUGGAGGAUCCCAUGGGGCCAGGCAGAUGACAUACAAGAGAUAUAAGAGUUACAACAACAUGUUCAGGCACACAUACAACAUGUAUUCAGGGAAGCAAAUAAUCUAGCAAAUGAGGCAUGUGACCUAGAGGGGAAGAUUCAGACGCAAACAUAUCAACAACUAUGUAAAGGAAUUUUAAAUACUGAUAAAGCCCAAAUACCAUCACUGAGGAUUAGAACAAGGAAGAUUACAGUACAUGGGCAACAUCAUGAGUAGAGAAAGGAAUAAUAACAAAGCAGAACACAGAUAUGAUAUGUACAAUCAGUUUUGCCAAUACAAGGCAUACAUAACUGUGCAAAAGACUACGCUACAUAGCAUGAGCUUUCUCAACUUACAAAUUCCACCAGCAAAAGUUGAUGCCUUCAAAUUCAGAUGGUAUCUGGAGCUGAAGAAGAGAGCACGCUUCUUGGAAUCUCCUUCUCUGCCUCAGCUGGAAAUAAGGAGAUUAGAGGUGGAUGAGAGACGGCAAAAAGAGAACAGAGAAGAAGGAACUCACUCACUUGGAAUCUCUUAUACAGGAAGAUGCAGAUUUGGAGAAAGGAAGAGCUGAGGAGAAGCAGAGGCGGAUGAAUCCACAACACAAGCUCAACAGGUGAACAUAUUGAAGAAAGAGCCGGACCAAAUAGGGUUA
rnacentral:lncRNA from 1 species